AAUCAGGACGCACCCAGAGAGGUGUGUGUGUGUGUGUGUGUGUGUGUGUGUGUGUGUGUGUGUGUGUGUGUGUGUGUGUGUGUGUGUGUGUGUGUGUUGUCUAUUGUUGCUGUGAACGGGAUAUUUUAGGAGGCUGGAGAGCCGAACGCGUCUCACCCGGGAGGAGCUCUGGAGCUGGAUGUGUGUCUGCAGGGACCGAGGCAGCGUCUGACUUCUGGCCGAGCAGGAGCGUCUCUGAGUCGGUGUGAGGACGGUGGAUGUGGCGCCGAGGAGCGGAGGACUUUAGCGGAGAAAGGGAGGCUUUAUAACUGGGAUUUACUGACCUGCUGCUGGACUGAAUUAUAGGAGUCUAAGGGCGAUGUGGAGGUAUAGAUCAGUAAAGACGCAUUGAGUCAGAGAGCUGAGCACCGGCUGUGGAACGUCAGCAGCAGCAGCCCCUUCCCUGUGAGAGAGACCUAACCAUUCAACAACGUCGAAAGUUGCCUACUUCAAGAGGAAAUAUGCGGAGGAGGAGGAUUUACACGGAGGCCUACAUGGAUAUUUUCAAAAACACCUGAUACUGCAGGAGGACCGGGGCUGCAUCCUGAAGCUGUCCCUGGAGAAGCUGAGGUUCCUGGAGGACCCCGAGGCCUACCUGAGGCGCUCGGUCCUCAUCAACAACCUGCUGAGGAAGAUCCACCAUGAGGAGGAGGAAGUCGAGGCUGAAGAGGAGGAAGAAGAAGAAGAAGAAGAAGAAGAAGAGGAAGAAGAGGAGGAUGAUGUAGAAGAAGAAGAGGAAGAAGAAGAAGAUGAGGAGGAGGUCAUAGGAGAGAGGGGGCAGAGGAGGCUGUUGUACCCGGACAGGAAGAGGGUAAAGGUGCUUGUGAUGGACUGCUGCUCUCCGGCGUUUGGUCUGGAGGAGCUGCAGCGGUACCGGCUGGUGCCAUGUUAUCCAUCAGCCGGGUGCCUGUACAGCCUGGGAACCUGCCCAGGCAUCGCUCCCAACCACCAGGUACUUCUGUACAACCUGGACGACAACGGAUGACUGUCCAGACCUCACUUUCAGGCUCUUAUUAAGGAAAUGCAACAUCAGUUCAUGCUAAGAACAUCCAGACAUAAAACUGUUUGUUUAAAAUCACCUAAAGGAAAGCUGCUGUUGUUUUUCCACUCAAAACCUUUGAAGGACACGGUGCGUAGGGUCUGUUUUGUUCAUUUCCAGGAAUGUCACCUGCUCUUGUCUCCUUGCUGAGAGGCAGCAGUGGAUCAGGAUCAACAGGGUCUCUGAUGUUGAUGUCAAUCUCUGUCGCAGCGUCACUGCCAUUUUACUUAACGUGCACAUUCUGAGGGACUUGAGACGGGCUGUUAAUGUUGUGUGAUGGAUUUUUAUUGUUAUUGUUGCUCAUGUGAACCGUGAGCGAAUUCAGGGAUUUACAGACUGCAGGCCACUAUUUUUUGAUGCACUUUGGCUUGCGGGGAGCAUACGUGCUGAGUGCUUAUGUUAACUUUUUAUGCUACCGUGUGAUUUAUGAAAUAUUGUAUGUUACAUUCCCUGGACUGUGUGAAUCGUCAUGCUAUCUCAAGAUAUUCUCUGAGGUCUGUUUACUGCCUGUGGGAAGACUGUUGCAUCACUCUGCUGCCCUCUGCUGGUGCAGUAAUUCCCCUUAAAGCCCUCUCAAGCGGCUGAUAGUGUUCCUGUCUCACAGUGAAAGUGAACGAAAAGUAAUUACGGUUCUUUAAACUCCCAAUUUAGCAUUACAAGCAGUAUAUGAACAUUUAAUGACGUUUAACGGAGGCUUGUGUAUAAAAAUGAUGAGUAAAAUACAGAUAGAAUAGCCUAUCGAGUCGUAUAUUCUAGUAUUCUUAAUCUAGUAUAAAGAUAUUUCUUUAGGAGAACUUAUAAUUGCCACCAAAUUCUGUACUACACCAUUAUAAUGUGUAAACAACAUGUUUUAAAGGUUUAUGAAGUGCUUAUAGUGUUAAAUAGAUGGGGGUUUAUAUUCAG